UCCUUUUUAAAAGCCAUUAACAGGGUGGCAGGGGAUCUGAGGAGCAAAGGGGAGUCUCUGUGCACUGUGUCCACCGACCGUCCCUCUCCCAACCUCCCUGAGUCCUUCUCAGGGUUCCCUUGCGCGGAGCCGCCCAGGAGGGCAUUCCCCGACCUGGCGCCGCAGUUGUCAGGCCAGGGCUGGGGGCUCCAGGGAGAAGGGUGCUGCCUCUGGCGUCCUUCUCCAGCCCGGGAGCUGCUGCUACGAUCCCGGUCAUCAGCUCUGUUGGAGCGAAGACUUGCCAAACCAGAGCGCUGGUCGGUAUUGUUUUUCUAGAACAGCAGGGCUGUUAUUACAAGUGUUCUGGAAGGGAGAAUAAGAAAGCUAAAAAGGGAUUCCGCAGCAUCGUAAAAAUAGCCAGUAAUAUGGGAAUUGACGGACCGGCGAGCAGAGAUCCGGAUGCAUGGACGCGGCAGGGCGUUUUUGAACCACUGUUUGGCCGGCUGUCCGCCCACUUAGCACCUCCUCCCACACAGUGUCGGCAUGGCCAGGGUGGAGGCCUUGAGGAAAGGCCAGACUGCAGGCCGGUUCCCACCUGGGCUGCGAGGAUGCUGCCCUUUGCGGGCGGGCGCGCCAGCCGGGGAGGGAAAGCCAGCUUGCUAACUUGUUGAGUGGAGCUGAAGUCCUGUCUGCUCAGAGGGAUUACUGCUUGAUGCUACGACACUCUGUACAAGCUUCCUGACUGGCCGGCUCGCUGUCUUGGGAAUGUGGCUUCCUUCCACCAAGUGAUCAACCCCAACUGACUGACUCUUCCCGCAAGGCUGCCAGGCCCUGUCUGCUCUUUGGCAGACCUUGGCUCUAUAAAGGAGUCUCACAACACCCUAAGGAGGGAAUUUCUCUCACUUUUUCCACAUACAGACUCAAAAGCCCACAGUGCACAUUCCUAAUCGUGUACCAUGAGCUGCUCUGGUCACAGAAGGAAAAUGAAGCUGGAGCAAAAGGAAGGGUCCAGAUACCUGUCGGAUAGCACUGAGAGCAGCUCUCCAUGUGUUCUCUCCUGGUUCCCCCCAGGGAGGGAGGCACUUCCCUCUGUGGACCUAGACAGUCUCUGGCCUGUGACUGUGGACAGAAAUGGUUGGAGCAUUCAACCCUGGUGACGCAUCUCCAUAACUUCCCUCUGCCGAAGUGAGGUACUGUUUGAAAUGGUGGCAGCUCCAACAACCAGAGUCCACAGUGGACAUGAAGGGCACAUCCCUUUGCUAUCUGAUUAUGAUUGUGUAGACUGGGUAGAAGCUCAUUCUCCUGGGGCUUUUUCCUUACUGUGGCACCCCCUAGCUUAUCCUUGCUGAGACUCCCCGGUAAGGAAUUUGCACUUGCUCUGGGAACAUGUAAAGGCCCUGGAGAGUAAUGGAGUUCCCAAGACCACCUUGCUCAAGCUCAUUGGGGUUUUAAACACGAGUAAGCUCACUAAUAGGGUCAGUCUUAAAUAUAUUCUUAGAAACUAAGAUUUUAAGCAUUGUGAUUAUAUUCUUCAGCAAAAGAUACUUUAAUCAUAGUCCAGUAACAUCUCUCUGGGUAAUAAAAGAAGCACAUUUAUUUUCCUUCAUUUCCUAAAAGUUCUCAUUUCUAGUUGAUCACGUUGGGCUUUCUCUACUGGCCCAUGGUCCUGUCUAGUCCUGUGGUCGGCCUGACUGUAAAGUGAAUCAGUACAACACCGGACUCCACCUUUGGCCCAGUGUAGCUGGAAGAGAGAGAACGACCCGGUAAAGAAGGGCAUCCGGGGGACGGAAGGCCACCGGGGAGCACUGAGGGAGUACAGUUGUGCCAGGCAGGGUGAGUCAUCCCUCUGGCCUGACACUGCCAUCCGGACACACAGCCUGACCUCCUCCUAGCCCCAAGAGGCUCGGCUUUUUCACUCACGAUUUGAUCUCUAUAAAUAAUCUCAACGUCACGUUGAUCUUCAGUGGACCUUCCUUCCUUGCACAUGUGCGUGGUGUGCAUUAUGGACCGCUUGUUUGCAUCCCCCAGAAUCCCCGGGUUGAAGCCUGCGCUCCACUGCAGUGAUACCAAGAGAUGAAGCUUUGGGAAGUUACUAGGUUGCGAGGGUGGAGCCCUCUUGAGGGGUUAGUGUCCUUCUAAGAGGAGACACGAGCGCUGCCCUCUCUCUCUCUACCGGUGAGGUCAUAGCAAGGAGAAGCCCAUCUGCAAACCCAAAGGUGGACCUCACCCUCCACCAGACCUGCUGCCACCUCGUUCUUGGGUUCCCCAGCCUCCAGAGCUGUGAGGAAUACGCACACGUUUCCGUCACCCGGUUGUGGUAUUCUGUUACAGCAUCCCAACCUAAGACAGUGGGUUUAAGAGAAUGGGAAUAUCUGGACCUGAGAGCAGAGCCUGUAGUCCAGGGGUUAGCAAUUGACAGCCAGUAGGUCAAAUUCAGGACCAAAUGCAUUUGUGAAUAAGGUUUUACUGGAACACAGCCACAUGCCUGCCAGUUGGCAUGACGUCCCUGGCUGAUUUUACAUCUCCGUGGCAGUCGAGUAGUCAGCCCCUUCACAUGAAGAGUGUGUCAGGGGCUGAGGUUGUGGCUCAGUGGGACAGCACUUGCCCAGCCUGUGUGAGGCACUGGGCUCCAUCCUCAGCACUGCAUAACAAUAAAUAAAUAAAAUAAA